UACGUAGGGUGCAAGCGUUGUCCGGAAUUAUUGGGCGUAAAGAGCUCGUAGGCGGUUUGUCGCGUCGAAUGUGAAAACCCGGGGCUCAACCCCGGGCCUGCAUUCGAUACGGGCAGACUAGAGUUCGGUAGGGGAGUCUGGAAUUCCUGGUGUAGCGGUGAAAUGCGCAGAUAUCAGGAGGAACACCGGUGGUGUAGACGGCUUUCUGGACCGUAACUGACGCUGAGACACGAAAGCGUGGGUAGCAAACAGG
rnacentral:rRNA from 1 species